CCCGCCCGCGGCGCAGCGCCCCGCGGAGUGGGAUAAAUCGGCUUCAAAAUCCCCUCUGAAGCUGUCGAACCACCCAGUACCUGGCACAUUGCAUUAAAGUUAAUGGCUCUGGUUUUUAGAGCUGUUCUGCCUUCCUUAAUAACGUUAAGGAGCGGGGUGCUGUAGAGUGAUGUUUGUUUCCAUUUUAUUUCCUCAGAAAGCAAACAACGUACUCAAAACCGAUUGGAAAAACGUAACCAUGAAUGAGAAUUUAUACACACACACAUACACAAAGGAGAAUUUGCCGGGCUGCAUCACAGGAUGACUGUCAGCAGGGAAGACACCCACAGCGUGCAGAAAGCUUGGGCAAGGGAGGAGAGAUUGAGAGGACUGGCAAAUCUGGCAGCGCUCACAAACUGCAAAUGCAUUUCCCUCAUCUCCAAUACUUUAAAGCUGAGGUCUGCACUCAAGUUGUUCUGUUCAAGAUGUGAUGUUACAACUUCCAGCAAAGCAACUUCAUUUCUCAAAGAGAUGAGAACACAGAGGAAGGACCAUCACAGUGGCAAGGGUCUUUUCAUCCUGGUCUAA
rnacentral:lncRNA from 1 species